rnacentral:rRNA from 1 species
UGCCAGCAGCCGCGGUAAUACGGAGGGGGCUAGCGUUGUUCGGAAUUACUGGGCGUAAAGCGUGCGUAGGCGGAUCGACAAGUUGGGGGUGAAAUCCCGGGGCUUAACCCCGGAACUGCCCUCAAAACUGUCGAUCUAGAGACCGGGAGAGGUAAGCGGAAUUCCUAGCGUAGCGGUGAAAUGCAUAGAUAUGCCAUAGAACACCAAUUGCGAAGGCAGCUGACUGGGCCUGUAUUGACGCUGAGGCACGAAAGCGUGGGUAGCGAACAGGAUUAGAUA